UACGGAGGGCGCAAGCGUUGUUCGGAAUUAUUGGGCGUAAAGCGCGUGUAGGCGGCUUGGCAAGUCGGAUGUGAAAGCCCGGGGCCCAACCCCGGAACGUCAUUCGAUACUGCCUCGCUCGAGUCCCGGAGAGGAGAGCGGAAUUCCCGGUGUAGGGGUGAAAUCCGUAGAUAUCGGGAGGAACACCAGUGGCGAAGGCGGCUCUCUGGACGGUGACUGACGCUCAGACGCGAAAGCGUGGGGAGCAAAUAGG
rnacentral:rRNA from 1 species